AAUAGAUACCCCGGUAGUCCACGCCCUAAACGAUGUCAACUGGUUGUUGGGGAAGGAAACUUCCUUAGUAACGAAGCUAACGCGUGAAGUUGACCGCCUGGGGAGUACGGCCGCAAGGUUAAAACUCAAAGGAAUUGACGGGGACCCGCACAAGCGGUGGAUGAUGUGGAUUAAUUCGAUGCAACGCGAAGAACCUUACCUACCCUUGACAUGCCAGGGAGCCCGAUGAGAGUUGGGUGUGCCCGAAAGGGAACCUGGACACAGGUGCUGCAUGGCUGUCGUCAGCUCGUGUCGUGAGAUGUUGGGUUAAGUCCCGCAACGAGCGCAACCCUUGUCACUAGUUGCUACGGAUAGGGCACUCUAGUGAGACUGCCGGUGACAAACCGGAGGAAGGUGGGGAUGACGUCAAGUCCUCAUGGCCCUUAUGGGUAGGGCCUCACACGUCAUACAAUGGCGCAUACAGAGGGUUGCCAACCCGCGAGGGGGAGCCAAUCCCAGAAAGUGCGUCGUAGUCCGGAUUGUUCUCUGCAACUCGAGAGC
rnacentral:rRNA from 1 species